rnacentral:rRNA from 1 species
UACGUAGGGGGCAAGCGUUGUCCGGAUUUAUUGGGCGUAAAGAGCGUGUAGGCGGCCAAGCAGGUCCGCUGUGAAAACUCGAGGCUCAACCUCGAGACGUCGGUGGAAACCGUUUGGCUAGAGUCCGGAAGAGGAGAGUGGAAUUCCCGGUGUAGCGGUGAAAUGCGCAGAUAUCGGGAAGAACACCCGUGGCGAAGGCGGGUCUCUGGGCCGAUACUGACGCUGAGGAGCGAAAGCGUGGGGAGCGAACAGG